rnacentral:rRNA from 1 species
GCCAGACUCCUACGGGAGGCAGCAGUGGGGGAUAUUGCACAAUGGGGGGAACCCUGAUGCAGCGACGCCGCGUGGGUGAAGAAGCGCCUCGGCGCGUAAAGCCCUGUCAGCAGGGAAGAAAAUGACGGUACCUGAAGAAGAAGCCCCGGCUAACUACGUGCCAGCAGCCGCGGUAAUACGUAGGGGGCAAGCGUUAUCCGGAUUUACUGGGUGUAAAGGGGGCGCAGACGGCGAUGCAAGCCAGGAGUGAAAGCCCGGGGCCCAACCCUGGGACUGCUCUUGGAACUGCGUGGCUGGAGUGCAGGAGGGGCAGGCGGAAUUCCUGGUGUAGCGGUGAAAUGCGCAGAUAUUAGGAGGAACACCAGUGGCGAAGGCGGCUUACUGGACUGUAACUGACGUUGAGGCUCGAAAGCGUGGGGAGCAAACAGGAUUAGAUACCCCGGUA